rnacentral:rRNA from 1 species
GACGAACGCUGGCGGCGUGCUUAACACAUGCAAGUCGAACGGAAAGGCCCUGCUUUUGUGGGGUGCUCGAGUGGCGAACGGGUGAGUAACACGUGAGUAACCUGCCCUUGACUUUGGGAUAACUUCAGGAAACUGGGACUAAUACCGGAUAGGAGCUCCUGCUGCAUGGUGGGGGUUGGAAAGUUUCGGCGGUUGGGGAUGGACUCGCGGCUUAUCAGCUUGUGGGUGGGGUAGUGGCUUACCAAGGCUUUGACGGGUAGCCGGCCUGAGAGGGUGACCGGCCACAUUGGGACUGAGAUACGGCCCAGACUCCUACGGGAGGCAGCAGUGGGGAAUAUUGCACAAUGGGCGGAAGCCUGAUGCAGCAACGCCGCGUGCGGGAUGACGGCCUUCGGGUUGUAAACCGCUUUCGCCUGUGACGAAGCGUGAGUGACGGUAAUGGGUAAAGAAGCACCGGCUAACUACGUG